AGAAGAUUAACCCCUCCAGCCCCAGUCCAGCUCGGGGCCCAGCCCCGCUGGCCCGCGUGUGCCAGGCAGCGUCCCUGCGGAGACUCGGGAAGGGAAGGUGUCCUGCUGGGUCAGUGUCUCCAAGGGUCCCUGCAUGUCUUUGGGGUGCUGCAGCCAGUCUCAGGGCAGCGGCCUCAGCAGAGGGCCCUGCAUGGGCACAUGGCCAGCCCCUCCCCAGCACACAGGCUUCCCUGGAAGGCCUCUGGGUCAAGAGAUCCCUGAGUCAGGCUCCUGGCCUACCCAAGAACCCCUGGACACAACCCCAGUCCUGCCCUCCACAGGGCACCUGGCCUGCCCACUCAGCCCACUCUGGGCUCCCUGCCAGGACUCUGGGGACUUUGGUGAGCAGGAUAGGUGCCCAGCUCUGUGGCGCCACGCUGAGGCUUCUACCCAGGUACCCACCUCGGCCAGCAGAGUGGCCAUGGCCACCUCCUGCUGACUGUCUAUUGCCCUGGCAGGCCACGUGAACCCCAAGCUCCCCAACUCUGCAGAGAAGACAAGAUUGAAGGGGUCUCCAGGCCCAGGCAGUGGGACGGGGCCAGGGAGGGGUGGCCAGCCUGGUUGAGGAGCCCCUUCCUGCGUCCCGAGGGUCCUGCCCCGUGGGCCUCGCCACGUCCUGCAGCACAUGCUCCCGGCUUAGAUGUCGGCUCCUGCCUCUACCUAGAAUCCGUGUCCACCUGGGGGGUGGGCGCUGCGUGUCCACCGAGCCCUCAGGGCUGCACUGCCGGGCGAGGGCCCGGGUGGGGCUCCAUGACCAACUUCCACUAGGAACCAGUGGGGGUGGGACGGGCCAUCUUCUAGGGGUCCCCCUGCCUUCCUCAGGGGGCUCGGGUCUCCAACUGACCAAAGCCCCCAGCACGUCUGCCCUGGGCACAUGGCCUGCCACCAGCCCCAGAUAGCCUCAGCCUGGAGCCCUGUGGCCAGCAGGGGACUCCACUGGCAUCAGGCCCAGCCCCACCCUGGGGCCAUCUCUCUGAAAGAGUUGGGUGCACAACCAGGGCCCCCGCGUCUGGUUCUCACCAGAAAACAGGAGCCUCAGCUUUUAGGGAACAGAAGAGAAAUAAGUUAGGCCAGGCGCAGGCGGGGAAGCCCGCCAGCCCCACUCAUCGCUGCCUCCGAGCUGGCGGGAGGGGGCGGGCCAAGGGCUCUGCACUAACUGCCUGCAUCUGGGAGCACUUACAGAGGCCGCGGCACAGGCCCAGGGAACGGUGGGCCCCUCUGUCCCCUGAUACCCAGAGACCCUUCCAGGACAGACCAGGACGCCACCCUGUGCGCUCUGGGGAACUCCUGAGGUGGGCGUGGGCCAGGGCGGGCGUGCUGUGCACAGCAGCCGUGGCCCAGGACUGUCGCCGGGCCUGGACUCAGUGGGCACCCCUGCUGUUGAGCCUUCAGGCUGUGCCCAGACACUUCAGUGGGAGCUGCUGCGAAGGAGCCGUGUUGGCCGUGACUGCCCAGUCAGCAGGAUGGCCCUCGCAGUGAGCACGCAUGUCCACUGGGCUCUGCUGGCUGGCCUCUUGUCCGGACCAGGGGAGGUGUCCCGCACCGCGCCAACAAGGGCGCCAGCCACCCUGAGCUGCUGGUUCUGACGUGGAUGGCGGCUCGUGCUCCUUCCCUGGCUGGCCACCCGCGGCCCUGUUAGGCUGCCUCUCCUGGGAGCCCCGGCCACUGAGGUGGCUCCCUGCCAACUGGCACCCGGAGGCACCGGGGCUCCAGAAGGAAGGUGGUGCACCAGUGCCGACCAGUGCUGAGGCCGCUGUGGCCAGUGCUGCCCAGCAGCAGGAUAGGCCCCUCAUGUUGCUCUGCCCUGGUGACUCACUGGGCAGCUGGCCACCACUGCUGGGAGACAGGAGCCACCUGUCCCUGGUGCCCUCGAACGUGGCCCAAGCUGGCGGGCAGACUGCAGGGCCCCUCAUGGAGGAGCCGCCCAGGGGACGGCUUCCUGGACGGGAGGAGAACCGCAGUCCGCGCCAGGGUGGGGGAGGCAGGAGGCCUGGGCAGCGUCCCCCGCGGACCCGUGGGGGUGCUCCGCAGUGAGGCCGCCAUGGAAACCGUGUGUAGCCAUGGAAAACAGCGUCUUCCCUGAUGAAUCAUCUCCUAAGUUGGGAGGAAAAUUCACUGACCAGUGGAGGCCGGGAAAGGAAAUAAAGCACGUCCUGAGCCCCGGACGCGGGGGGCCAGGUGUCCCCACCCAGGCGGCUUCCUGGUACCACACCCACUGCAUGGGGCUCUGGGCACCCGACUACCCGUCCUUGGGCUCACGCCCAGCCCCACCACAGGCUCCGCUCUCACUCCCCGAGUCAUGUGGCGUGUCCAGAGCAGGCCCUAAUCCUCCAGCUCCCGUGGCGGGGCGGCGCUGGCAGCCCGGGUGUCCAGGGUGCUGCUGACCAUCAGCACCCAGCACAUGGCAGGAGGCUCGGCGUGCAGGGCGCGGGCAGCCCGGGGGUGUGCAGCUGUGUGCUGUCCUUGUGGACAGGCACUGUGAGGCCUCAGGACAUAGAGGAACUCUGGGCUGGGCACAGGGCCACUGCCUGCGCCUGGAGGUUCCGGGGCCUCUCUCUUUGCAAGGUCAAUGAGGCCUGGUAGGGGUUCCUGCUGCCCAAGGGGCAACACCCACCAGGGCACCCUGGCUGGAGACCGGAGCCGGGGCCAUGGGCGGGACCCCUCUCCUGACCUGGUGUCCUCUCGUCCUGCCCUGCUUACCCCCACUGCCCCUUCAGAAAGUCCCUUGGUCCUGGCCCUGCCCACCCUGCAGGGUGCCCUGUUUAGUGGCGGCCCUGAGGCAGGGACCCUCCACCUGGCCCACUCAGAGCUUCACUUCUCAGAGCACAGGGCCGGCGUUUGUAAAACGGGUUUUAGCCGACACACCCAGAGCCCCGGCCACACCCCAGGGCCCGACUGGCUACAGCCUGGUCUCCACACACCGGCUCUCCACACCUGCAGGCCCCGGAGCAGGAGGUGCAGCUGGGCACCCAGGCCGUGGGCGCUCCAGGGAGGCCCAGCUCCGCUCGCCCGGGGGCCUCCCUGCAGCCUCCUUCCACCCACUGAGGGGUCUGCACAGGGCGGGUUCCUUCCUCUCUCCUGUGCCCACUGCGGGAGCCCGCGAGCCCAGAGAGCUGGGGGGAAAGAGGAGCCCAGGCAGCCCCGACUGGUACUGUGGCCUCCGCAGGGGCCCAUGGACCUGGUUCUGGGGGUCCUCAGAGGCCAGGGGCAGAUCCCCCAGACAGCCCAGGCUGGCCUCCUCCAGGGCCCGGCCCUCUCUCCUGGAGCCUCCCCUGACCGGGCAGUCCUGCCAGUGCAGUCCUGCCAGUGCACCUGCCCCUCUCCCUGUGCUGCCCAGGACGCAGGCCCAGCCAGGUGGUGCUGGGGGUGAGAGGCAGAGAGGGACAAAGACCUCCGCCCCAGGCGGGCUCAGGACCUCAGGCCAGGACCUGCCUGGGGCCCAAGUCCCUGUCAGCAGGAGGGGAGGGUGGGCUGCCACCCCUCUGCCCUUGGACACAGGCACACUGCAGCCCACCCCUGGUGCGCUGUUGGCCAUCCUGAGGCAGUGCCUCCCCCACCGAGGCCAGGCUGCCCAGGACGGCAAGGCAGCAGGACUGGGCAGGCCUCUCUAACCUGGCCUGGCUCUGGUUUGGGAGGCAGACACGGCACCGAGACCAGCGGGCAGCCCAGGGGCCCUGGUGGGCUUGGAGGGAGGGAGAUGGAGGCAGAGGGACAGAGGGAGACAGAGGGACAGGACAGGAGGGUGGGAGCAGGGGCAGAACGCUGGGGGACGGCACUGGGGCACGGGUCUUCCACAGCCGCCUGUGCUCCCUUGGCAGGGCGCGUGUGGCUGCUGCCAUCACCAGGGCCACUCCAAGGGGAGCGCGUGGACGUCGAGCAGUGGCCCCGCUCUGGGCGCUAUGGGGCUGUCUGCUCCGGGGGCCUGCGGCCUGCACCGUCUGGAGACAGCCUCUGGAGGGGCCCUGGCGCAGCUGGAGGGUGGGAGGCGCCCCUGGGCCUGCCCUCCCCAGAGGCCUCCCGGGAUGACUGUGGCAGCCUGGGUGGGCAGGGGUGGGCAUGUGCACUGAGGGGUGCUGGCCGGAGGAGCCCUGGUGCCACCAGGUCCUCUGGCUGCCAGCCCCCACUGCAGGCCUGUGCCAGGGUGUGUCCUGCAGCAGACGUGGAAAGGCCCCUGGGGCAGGCAGACUCAGGGUGGGACCAGGGGGCCCCUUGUCCCCCCACGGAAGGUGACAGGCUCCACCUGCCCCUCCUUUCAGACUGGGCCAGCCUCGCUGCCCGGCUCCCAGGACAGGUCACCUCUGCACAGGGUGCUCCAGCCUCAGUGGACCAGCAGGUGUCCAGAGCCCUGGGGGGACUCCACUGUCCUGGGGUCCACAUGCUGUGGCCCCCGUUCCUCCCCUGCUCGACGCCCAGCCUGGGAGCCCUGGGUGCCCUAAGUGUGAAGCGACCGAGGCUGCUGCUCAGCACCCUGCGGGCAGCUCCAAGGCCUCGGCCAUGUUCAGAAGCCAGGCCCUUCAGCGGUCGCUGUGUGGAAACUUCCGUCCUGUCUCGUGGGUCUUGGCGUCAUAAGGCGCUGGGCUGAGGACGGCCAGCAUCAGGAGCCCCGGCACUCUGGAAUCUCCUCUGGGCCAAGCCCGAGUGCCCUCUGCCCACACAUGUGCUCCCCUAAACAGUGGGCGACCCAGGAGAAACCACGGUGGCUGGCAGACCCUGGCCCCCCACGGGCGCCCUCAGGGAAAGCCGGGGGCACAUGAGUCCCAUGGCGUCCAGGGCCUUGGGGGAGAGGGGCUGCUGCCUUCCCAGCUCUGGGAGGUCUGCGGCCGGCGGGUGGGCGGGAGGAGUGUGACUCAGCCGGCCGCCCCGCCCCCGCCCCUC